CCUCUCUAGGGCACCAAAUUGAGACACCGAGCUUGAUGAUCACCCCCACAGCAAAUCACGAAUUGUAUACAUGAAAGAAAAUUAAAGGAAGAGUGAAAGAUUUUUAGGUCAGACAAUUUUUUAUGCCCACUCUGUAAUAACAUUGUUCUUGACCUUAGAUACUGUUGUUUGGAAUGAAAAUAAUACGCAAUUCUAGGAUUCGAAUAAAAAACAAUCAAUUUGGGGCAGAUUUGGACUUAUAAAUCCGUUCAGAAAAACUCUUCCAGUAGAAGUUUUGUACGAAAAUUCAAAAUGAAGUGUUUAAAAGGUAAAAAAGAAAGUGAAGAAAUACCAUUUUGAGAUCGUCCGUCGAAACAAGCUUUUGGACAACCAAAGUUCGUAAGAUGCGUAUGAAGAAAUCCAACUUUUGACAAGUCCUUCAUCGUACAAGGUGAGUUUUCAUUGGGUUUUCCCAGAUCUG
rnacentral:lncRNA from 1 species